GACGAACCGUACAAACGUUAUUCGGAAUCACUGGGCUUAAAGGGUGCGUAGGCGGUCCAGAAAGUUGGGUGUGAAAGCCCUCGGCUCAACCGAGGAAUUGCGCCCAAAACUACUGGACUUGAGGGAGGCAGAGGUAAGCGGAACUUAGGGUGGAGCGGUGAAAUGCGUUGAUAUCCUAAGGAACACCAGGAGCGAAAGCGGCUUACUGGGCCUCUUCUGACGCUGAGGCACGAAAGCUAGGGGAG
rnacentral:rRNA from 1 species